rnacentral:rRNA from 1 species
UACGGAGGGUGCAAGCGUUAUCCGGAUUCACUGGGUUUAAAGGGUGCGUAGGCGGACAGGUAAGUCAGUGGUGAAAUCUCCGAGCUUAACUCGGAAACUGCCUUUGAUACUCUCUGUCUUGAAUAUGGUGGAGUAAGCGGAAUAUGUCAUGUAGCGGUGAAAUGCUUAGAGAUGACAUAGAACACCUAUGCGAAGGCAGCUUACUACGCCUAUAUUGACGCUGAGGCACGAAAGCGUGGGGAUCAAACAGG